rnacentral:rRNA from 1 species
UACGUAGGGGGCAAGCGUUGUCCGGAUUCAUUGGGCGUAAAGAGCGUGUAGGCGGCCAGGUAGGUCGGUUGUGAAAACUGGAGGCUCAACCUUCAGAGGUCGACCGAAACCAUCUGGCUAGAGUCCGGGAGAGGAGAGUGGGAAUUCCUGGUGUAGCGGUGAAAUGCGCAGAUAUCAGGAAGAACACCCGUGGCGAAAGCGGCUCUCUGGAACGGUACUGACGCUGAGACGCGAAAAGCGUGGGGAGCGAACAGG